UACGUAGGCAGCGAGCGUUGUUCGGAGUUACUGGGCGUAAAGGGUGUGUAGGCGGUUGUUUAAGUUUGGUGUGAAAUCUCCCGGCUCAACUGGGAGGGUGCGCCGAAUACUGAAUGACUAGAGUGCGGGAGAGGUGAGUGGAAUUCCUGGCGUAGCGGUGAAAUGCGUAGAUAUCAGGAGGAACACCGGUGGUGUAGACGGCUCACUGGACCGUAACUGACGCUGAGACACGAAAGCGUGGGUAGCAAACAGG
rnacentral:rRNA from 1 species